AACGAACGCUGGCGGCAGGCUUAACACAUGCAAGUCGAGCGCCCCGCAAGGGGAGCGGCAGACGGGUGAGUAACGCGUGGGGAUCUACCCAUCUCUACGGAAUAACGCAUGGAAACGUGUGCUAAUACCGUAUACGUCCUUCGGGAGAAAGAUUUAUCGGAGAUGGAUGGGCCCGCGUUGGAUUAGCUAGUUGGUGGGGUAAAGGCCUACCAAGGCGACGAUCCAUAGCUGGUCUGAGAGGAUGAUCAGCCACACUGGGACUGAGACACGGCCCAGACUCCUACGGGAGGCAGCAGUGGGGAAUAUUGGACAAGGGGCGCAAGCCUGAUCCAGCCAUGCCGCGUGAGUGAUGAAGGCCCUAGGGUUGUAAAGCUCUUUCACCGGUGAAGAUAAUGACGGUAACCGGAGAAGAAGCCCCGGCUAACUUCGUGCCAGCCGCCGCCGUAACAC
rnacentral:rRNA from 1 species